GAUGAACGCUGGCGGCGUGCCUAAUACAUGCAAGUCGAGCGAACGGACGAGAAGCUUGCUUCUCUGAUGUUAGCGGCGGACGGGUGAGUAACACGUGGAUAACCUACCUAUAAGACUGGGAUAACUUCGGGAAACCGUAGCUAAUACCGGAUAAUAUUUUGAACCGCAUGGUUCAAAAGUGAAAGACGGUCUUGCUGUCACUUAUAGAUGGAUCCGCGCUGCAUUAGCUAGUUGGUAAGGUAACGGCUUACCAAGGCAACGAUGCAUAGCCGACCUGAGAGGGUGAUCGUCCACACUGGAACUGAGACACGGUCCAGACUCCUACGGGAGGCAGCAGUAGGGAAUCUUCCGCAAUGGGCGAAAGCCUGACGGAGCAACGGCGCGUGAGUGAUGAAGGUCUUCGGAUCGUAAAACUCUGUUAUUAGGGAAGAACAUAUGUGUAAGUAACUGUGCACAUCUUGACGGUACCUAAUCAGAAAGCCACGGCUAACUACGUG
rnacentral:rRNA from 1 species